CUGCUUAUUAUAUGUCAAUUACAUUUCUUGGUCAGCUUUUGAUCUUGUUUCAUUUCUUCUUUGUUUGCUUCCUGUUUUUGCAUUUUUUGCGUGUAGAGACCGGUCUUUUCUUUACAGACUUGUCAGAGGAAGAGGUCAAAAAAAUAUUUGAAGAGUUUGAAGUUUUUGAUUUUGCAAGGACGGGAUGUCUCGCUACCGAGAAGUUAUUUUCAGGGUUUAUGACUUGGAUGGCAAUGGAAAGGUGAAUUUCAAUGACAUCAUAGAAGUGCUCAGUGAUAUGAUUGGUUCAUUCAUGACUGCUGAGCAAAGAGAGGGGGAAAUUAAUUGAUGCAUACAGAUUUCUACAUGUGGAGAAGAAAACGGAGUGUGGCUUCUCAUGGUCUAGAAACCCAGUUGGAAAGUUUUGGUGUUGGUAAAUUGCGCGUGAAAAAAUGAUUGAAAGUCUCUGAGAAAUUUCGAGACCUUUUGAUCGUUUUGCUUACUUGCAUUCUGGAGUAGAGUUUAAUUUGAGUAUGGAAGCCGUUGCAGGGAAAGCCUCUACGCCCUAUAACAAGUAUAGACUAAACAACCCUAGCCGUGGAGGAAGCAGAGAAAAACAAUAAAGUUGAUCAUGUUUGACAUGCUUCCCUUUUUGCUGAUGGGUAUGAUUGUUCUUUUGAAGUUCUUGUUGAGCGUGUCAUAAAUUUUGGAAAAUGGGGCAAGGCAUCAGUAUCUCAUCAUGGGGAAAUCAAUUGAUGCAUACAGAUUUCUACAUGUGGAGAAGAAAACGGAGUGUGGCUUCUCAUGGUCUAGAAACCCAGUUGGAAAGAAACUUCUUAUGUGUAUGAGAGCUUAUUAAGGCCAUUUUGUCGAAACAUGAGACGGAUAUGAUAAGAACCUGCAAGAGUUGAGAUAUAGAGGUUGGGAUGUAGCCAUUUACUUCUGGCAAAAUUGCAUUGAAGUGGGAUCAUCAGCAAUUUUCAAUAAUGUGUUUGAUUACAUAGCCAAUUAGUCUUCUAGGCUUAGAGGUGGUGACACAGUGGUUUGUGAGCUGCCAGCUCUUCUUGGGUGUGCUCAUUGAUGAUGCUGAUGGUGAAGUUGAAAGAAGUUCUUCAAGAAAAUGCAGAUAUUUUGUGUUUGUUUAAGUGUUUAAUUGCAAUGGAAUGGUUGGAUAGUUAAAGUUGUAAGCGUUAGCACCAACAUGAUUCCGAGUUGUUCUUACAUUCAUCUAUCCUGUUAUGUAUAGGAUAUUUGUAGGACUCUUGAAAAAUGGUGUCAUCUCGAAUUUGUUUGUGUUGAUAUAGGCUUUUUUUCUGGUUUUAUUUUUGGCUCCAAAUCAUUAAUUAAGUAUUUAAGAGCUGAAUAACUUAUAAUAAUUGUAACUAGGUUAGCACCCGUGCGAUGCACGGGUUUCACAGUAACUUAUCUUUGGAUU